rnacentral:rRNA from 1 species
CACGUAGGGUGCGAGCGUUGUCCGGAAUUAUUGGGCGUAAAGAGCUCGUAGGCGGUGUGUCGCGUCGGCCGUGAAAACCUGCAGCUUAACUGUGGGCUUGCGGUCGAUACGGGCAUCACUGGAGUUCGGCAGGGGAGACUGGAAUUCCUGGUGUAGCGGUGAAAUGCGCAGAUAUCAGGAAGAACACCUAGUGGCGAAGGCAGCUCUCUGGGACGGUACUGACGCUGAGACGCGAAAGCGUGGGGAGCGAACAGG